rnacentral:rRNA from 1 species
GUGCCAGCCGCCGCGGUAAUACGUAGGGGGCAAGCGUUGUCCGGAAUCAUUGGGCGUAAAGAGCGUGUAGGCGGCCUGGUAAGUCCGCUGUGAAAGUCCAGGGCUCAACCCUGGAAUGCCGGUGGAAACUGUCAGGCUCGAGUCCGGAAGAGGCGAGUGGAAUUCCUGGUGUAGCGGUGAAAUGCGCAGAUAUCAGGAGGAACACCAAUGGCGAAGGCAGCUCGCUGGGACGGUACUGACGCUGAGACGCGAAAGCGUGGGGAGCAAACAGGAUUAGAAACCCGCGUAGUCC